rnacentral:rRNA from 1 species
GACGAACGCUGGCGGCGUGCUUAACACAUGCAAGUCGAACGGAAAGGCCCUGCUUUUGUGGGGUGCUCGAGUGGCGAACGGGUGAGUAACACGUGAGUAACCUGCCCUUGACUUUGGGAUAACUUCAGGAAACUGGGGCUAAUACCGGAUAGGAGCUCCUGCUGCAUGGUGGGGGUUGGAAAGUUUCGGCGGUUGGGGAUGGACUCGCGGCUUAUCAGCUUGUUGGUGGGGUAGUGGCUUACCAAGGCUUUGACGGGUAGGCGGCCUGAGAGGGUGACCGGCCACAUUGGGACUGAGAUACGGCCCAGACUCCUACGGGAGGCAGCAGUGGGGAAUAUUGGACCAUGGGCGGAAGCCUGAUGCAGCAACGCCGCGUGCGGGAUGACGGCCUUCGGGUUGUAAACCGCUUUCGCCUGUGACGAAGCGUGAGUGACGGUAAUGGGUAAAGAAGCACCGGCUAACUACGUG